AGGUUGAUGAUGACUCCCUCCUCAAUUGCAUUCUUUUAAAGCUGCACAAACUUGAGUGAGAACUCACUAGUUUAUUGUGAAUUCU
ensembl:snoRNA SNORD116 Small nucleolar RNA SNORD116